AAUUAAAAUACAAUUAUACAACCGUAAACACAAAAAACCAUAUAAUAUUAACAAAACGAAUAUAACUUGAAACUUAAAAAAUUUAGCUAUAAAAAAUCGACCCACGGUAUACUGCAGAUAAAAUAUUCAAAAUUUUAAAAUCCACCAUACAUCAUUACUUAAAAAAAU
rnacentral:sRNA from 1 species